rnacentral:rRNA from 1 species
AGCAGUCGCCGCGGGAAUACGUAGGGUGCAAGCGUUAAUCGGAAUUACUGGGCGUAAAGCGUGCGCAGGCGGUUCUAUAAGACAGAUGUGAAAUCCCCGGGCUCAACCUGGGAACUGCAUUUGUGACUGUAGAGCUGGAGUACGGCAGAGGGGGAUGGAAUUCCGCGUGUAGCAGUGAAAUGCGUAGAUAUGCGGAGGAACACCGAUGGCGAAGGCAAUCCCCUGGGCCUGUACUGACGCUCAUGCACGAAAGCGUGGGGAGCAAACAGGAUUAGAUACCCCGGUAGUCCCUGUCUCUUAUAC